CAACCUUUUUAUAAAGGUCUAUUUCCCAACAAUCCUCAUGCGCAUGAGGAUUGUUGGGAAAUAGACCUUUAUAAAAAGGUU